rnacentral:rRNA from 1 species
AUUGAACGCUGGCGGCAGGCUUAACACAUGCAAGUCGAACGAGUGGCGGACGGGUGAGUAAUGCUUGGGAAUCUAGCUUAUGGAGGGGGAUAACUACGGGAAACUGUAGCUAAUACCGCUUACCAUAGGAUGAGCCCAAGUGGGAUUAGGUAGUUGGUGAGGGAAAGGCUCACCAAGCCGACGAUCUCUAGCUGGUCUGAGAGGAUGACCAGCCACACUGGGACUGAGACACGGCCCAGACUCCUACGGGAGGCAGCAGUGGGGAAUAUUGCGCAAUGGGGGCAACCUGACGCAGCAAUGCGGCGUGUAAGAAGAAGUCCUUCGGGUUGUAAAGUACUUUCAGUAGGGAUGCGUUACCUACAGAAGAAGCAACGGCUAACUCCGUGCCAGCAGCCGCGGUAAUUC